CACCUCAAAACCACCUAAACCACGUCAAAACCACCAAAGCCACCUCAAAAUCUCCAAGACCACCUCAAAGCCACUUCGGCGCCACCAAAAUCACCUCAAAGCCAUCUCAGAAAAGCCAAAACCACCUCAGACCCACCAGAACCACCAAAACCACAUCAAAACCACCUCAAAACCGCUUCAGGACCACCAAAAUCGCCUCAAAACCAUCUGAGAAACGCCGAAACCACCUCAAAACCACCAAAACCACCCAAAACACCUCAAAGCCACCCGAAAAACACCCCAAAAACUCCGCGUCCUGCUCCUUCCCAGUGCUCCUGGCACAGCUGAGCCGUGGUGGCCACCUCUGCAGUGUCCCCACAGUGUCACAACCCUCGCUGUCACCUCUGCGUGGCACCGAGCUGGGCCUCCUCUGCCUCACCUGAGCCCCAAAGGUGUCCCCAAAGGUGGCACGGGUGGUGGCAGGGUUUGGGGUGGGGUGGACACUUCCAGCCCCGUGGAAGAGGUGGUGAAAUUCUUCCUGCAGCUCCCAAGGUGAGGUCACCCGUCUCCCAAAGGGUUCCUCUUGUCCAGAUGACCCCCAAAUCCAUGGGGUGACCUCCCAGGUGAGGUUACACCUCCCAAAUUCCUUGAGGUGACCUCCCAGGUGGGGUUACCCCCCAUCCCAAUGGGUUUCUCUUGUCCAGAUGACCCCCAAAUCCAUGGAGACACCUCCCAGGUGAAGUUACCACUUCUCCAAGGGUCUCCUCAUCCUCCAGACGGCCCCAAACCCUUGAGGUGACCUCCCAGGUGAGGUUACUCCCAUCACAAAGGGUUCCUCUCCUCCAGACAACCCCAAAUUCCUUGAGGUGACCUCCCAGGUGAGGUUACCCAUCCCAAAAUCCAUGGGGUGACUUCCCAGGUAAGGGUUGCCACCUCUCCAAGGGUCUCCUCAUCCUCCAGAUGACCCCAAAUCCAUGGAGAGACCUCCCAGGUGUUGUUACCCCUCCCAAAAUCCAUGGGGAGACCUCCCAGGUGAGGUUACCCAUUUCUUUAAGGGUUCCUUCUCCUCCAGAUGACCCCAAACCCUUGAGGUGACCUCCCAGAUGGGGUUACACCCAUCCCAAAGGGUUCUUCCUCUCCAGACAACCCCAAAUCCACAAGGAGACCUCCCAA